GGGGGCGAAACGGUUUCGACGGGGGAAGUUGUGGCAGGAUAAGCGAGCCGGGGUCCCAUCAGCCCGUAAUACGAUGGAACAGUUAAUUUAACUGCCAAUAACGAUAAUUACGCUCUAGCUGCUUAAUUGCAGCUAGCAUCCCACCCGCACCGGCCUGUGGAGCGGGGUUCGGGGUGUCAUAAAAUACAGGAUUACCCUUCAGCCAAUUCUCGGAGGCUCUAGGGGACAUUCAUCGAGAUAGCUCCGGCGAAGCCUGGUUGUGGGCGCCAACGGAUCGAAACCUAAAACACAAUCUACGCUCGUAGAAGGUCUUGUGGCUCUUCUUUCGGACGGUGGGUUCGACUCCCCCCGCCUCCACCA
rnacentral:tmRNA from 1 species